AGCACCACACCCGUGGUAUAUGGAGGUUCCUAGACUAGGGGUCUAAUUGAAGUUACAGCUGCUGGCCCAUGCCACAGCCACAGCAACGCCAGAUCUGAGCCACAUCUGUGACACUACAGCUCAUUGCAACGCCAGAUCUUUAACCCACUGAGCAAGGCCAGGGAUCCAACCUGCAACCUCAUGGUUCCUAGUUGGAUUCGUUUCCAUUGUGCCAGGAGGGGAACUCCUCUUUUUUUUUUUUUUUUUUUUUUUUAAAUUGGGCAUUUUUUCCUUCAGUGGAAGAAUAUAGUUAGACAUUCAGAUCUAUAAAACUGGUAUUGAAUGUGUGGCAACAUUUUAUACCUAGAGGAUUACUCUGCAUGUGUUUGGGUAUUUAUACUCCCUGCCAUGUUCUCUCCCACCCACAUGGUCACUGGUAUCCCCCAGAGCAAUUCUUCCCUUCUUGAUCCUGUGCCAAAAGCAGAAAUACAAUGUCAGCAAAGCUGCUAGCCUGGAUUUGAGUCAGACAUAUUCAGAUUUGAGUUUGACGUGUAGAGUUGCCCAUCAUAUCAGACUAGUCUUGCAGGAAGAGAGAACAAAGGGGACUGGGUAAUAAAUGGUGAGGGACUGGGUGUCCACAAAAUGAGGAGGAGAAGAAAGACCUUUUAUCAAGGAGGCAGCUGAACAGAGUGGAGCAUGCUUCACUGAAGAGGUUGCUAUAAUGGAAUAUGACAAAGGAGCUGAGGUGCUAUAGAAACACAUAGGAGGGUCCUUAACACAGACAGGUGAUGUCAGGAAAGCCCUCCCAGCAGGAGUGAGCUCUGAAGGAAGGGUCUGACUCAGCCAGCAGCCUGCUGCAGGACCAAUUCAAGAAAUGGAUGGAAAAAAUCAGAGCCGGUUGAAUGAGCAAUAAAUAACACAGUAUGUCUGGAGCAUAAGGUCUAACAGGCAAAUGUGUUCAAGGGAAGGGAAGGUUGCUAAGAGAUGAAUCUGGCCAGUGUGCUGGACAAGGUCCCAAGACAACUUGAACUUGCUGUAUACGGAAAGUCAUUGAGGAUUAAAGACAGGAGGGGAAAGAGUCAGCCUUAUAAUUUAUCAAGGUUAUUCCUAUAAUAAGGUAAGGCAUACAUGGUUAAAAAGUAGAGAGGCUGCUAGGAAGUGAGUAGAACUGUUAUGUUGGCUUUCUUCACAUAGAAAACAAUGAGGGCUUGAAUUAGUGCAGCGCUGGUGUGGUGGGUGGCACAGGGAGGGGGCAAUGAUAAAUUUGAGAAACAUUCAUGAAAGAGUCAAACUGAAUAUGGAAAGAGGACCAUGAAGAGGAGAGGAAAGAAAUUCAAGCUGACCACCAUAUUUCUGAGAAAAAUGGGCAUUCACUAUACUGAUAAAAAGAUGUCAUAGGAGUUCCCACUGUGGUGCAGUGGGCUAAGAAUCCAACUGCAGUGGCUUGGGUUGUUGCUGAGAUGAGGGUUGAAUCCCCUGCUGGGUACAGUGGAUUAAAGUUUCCUGUGUUGCUGCAGCUGCAGUGUAGGUCACAGCUGUGGCUCAGAUUCAACCCAUGGCCCCGGGAACUUCCAUAUGCUGUGGGUGUGACCAUAAAAUUUAGAGAAUAAAAAGAUAUGGUACUACCCACUGAGGAAUGGAAUUUGGUAUCUACCUCACAGGACAAAUUAUGAUUCUCUUUCCCCAAUCCCACACCCAUCCAUCAACCAGAUACUUCUGCCCUACACUGCAGACACAGGGCACAAGUCAAGGACAGCAGACUGCAGUAUGUUCCAUGCCACAAAGUGUUUUGACCCCCCACCAAUAAUUCAUUAAGCCAAAUUGAGAUUCUGGUCUAUAACCAGUCAACUAUUCUUAAUUAUCUGCCUUCCUGUAGGAAAUAUGAAAAUUCAAACUGGUGUUAUUGCUACGUGAUCUUCUUUCUUUCUUUUUUUCGUGCUAGACUCAGUGAAGAAAUUCAAGGGUGUCUUUGGCUUGGGAAAUGAAAUUUACAGGCACAUGUGACAACUCAUUAAAUUAAAUACAUUGGUAAUACUGGGGUUUGACUGAAUCCGUCAGUUGGUUAAUUUUCACACUUUACUGAGAAGCAUCUAGACUAGAAUUAUACCAGAGGAAGCCAGAUAGUGGAUAUUGCCAUACAAGUUAUGUUAUUUCUUAUUUUGUUCAUACCUUAUAUUGCCAUCCUGCAUUACUCUGAGAUUAUGAACUAGUUUAAUUUCACAAAGUCAUAAACUAGAAGUACUAGUAUAUGUACUAGUACUAGUGUGUCUGUUCACCAGGUUAGAGAAUGAAAGAGAAAACUGCUGAAAGAAAAAAAUAGCAUCAAACCUUCUCUCUUGUGAAACCAUUGGUUUCUUUUGGCACCAUUCUUCCAUUUGCUAUGAAGCAGAAAGUGCCUGGACACAGGGGCUCCAGGACCUCUUGCUGUUUCUUGUUCCUGGGCUCCUUGGGCAGCCUCCUACCCCAUGGGCUGCCCCUGUCACCUUAAAUGUGGAAGUGGAUACUUCCUGAAACCCCACUUUGUCCCUAAACCCUUUCCCUCCCUCCCUCUCUUCCUCAUCCUCUCUAAUUGUCAAUUUCUUCCUUCUCAAUAUCCUACACUUUCAAACAAAGAUUGGAAAGACUGGGAGGAAGUGACAAUGGGUAGUUGCCUAGCAGUCUCUCUUCAGGGCUGUGAAAUAUCACUGGCCCCUGUGGUGCUGUGGGUUGAGGAAGCCACACUCAGAGCAAUAGGACUGGCCACCUGUGGGAAUGGCAGGGAGGAAACAACUUCUUCCAAACACUCUUUCUUCCCAAACACUGAGUGCAGGACACCAGUCAAUUUCCCACCAAUGUUCCUCUUGUAUAUAUACCUUUGUGUAUCUCUGGCUAGCUAGCUAAUUAGACAAGUACUGUCUCUUUUCACAUAUAUGUGAAAUCUAAAAGAUAAAACAAAUGAAUUAAUAUAACAAAAUAGAAACAGACUCAUACAGAGAACAAACUAGUAGUUGCCAAUGGGGAGAGAAGUAGUGGGGAGGGCAAGUUAGGGAAAGGGGAUUAGAGGUACAAACUAUUAUGUAUGAAAUAAAUGAGCAGGUGUUCCCGUUGUGGCGCAGUGGUUAAUGAAUCCGACUAGGAACCAUGAGAUUUCGGGUUCGAUCCCUGCCCUUCCUCAGUGGGUUAAUGAUCCGGCAUUGCCAUGAGCUGUGGUGUAGGUUGCAGAUGCAGCUCAGAUCCUGCAUUUCUGUGGCUCUGGUAGGCCGGCAGCUACAGCUCCGAUUAGACCCCUAGCCUGGGAACCUCCCAUAUGCUGCGGGAGCGGUCCAAGAAAUGGCAAAAAGACAAAAAAAAAAAAAAAAAAAAAAAAAAAAAGAAAUAAAUGAGCUACAAGGAUAUAUCGUACAGCACAAGGAAUAUAACCAAUAUUUUAUAACAACUUUAAAUGGAGUAUAAUCUAUAAAAAUAUUGUCACUGUAUUGUAUACCUGAAAAGAUACUAACAUUGUAAAUUAACUCUACUUCAAUUAAAAAAGUGGAUCUAGCAUGAUACUUAGAGAUAAAACCUAAGUGUAAUUCCAUAUCAGUUAUAUGUAAAAUGUUUGCACAAGACUUUGUCACUUUGUUAUUUUCUCUCCUGAAACCUCUUCUUGUCAAAUUCUUUCUUUAGUCCCACAGGCAUAGGUGAGAAAUCACGAGUGCCAAAUGAAUGGAGUUUUACUAUUCCUCUUGUUCAUUUCCAAUUCAUUCCCCAGAAUAAGUUCAAGCUUAAAUUUUAAAACCUUAUCUUUUUCUUCUUUACUCUUAAAAGAAAGUUCUUCAUGCAUUUUUAAAUUAAGAUUUUAAUAAUUGAGGGAAAAAAAAUAAAAAGCUUACCGUAUCACCCCUGCCUAUAUAUUCUAUAUAGAAUACAAAAAGCUUUCAUAAGAAGAUGUCUUUUUCCUUUUUCCUCUUUCCUGCCCAGUCCUUCUGUCAUCCAGUAGCCUGGGUCUGAGGUGGAUGUACUGUGAAUAGAAUGAAUUCUAAGCAUCAGAGCCCCUCAUUGGCUCUAAUCUCCUCCAAGUUCCAGUCAAGAGCUCCAGCAGGGAGUUUGCAUGGCCUGAUGUUUAAGUCUUCUGAAAUAAGUUAGUAUGACUCCAAGAGGCAUUACACCAUUUUUUAAAAUCCAUUCUGAAGUCCCCUGUCACAUUCUUCCUUGGGUUGCAUAAUUUUGAGUGGCCAGGGGCAUUUUGGGGACCUAGUUAAUGGCAGUUGAUUUGAGAAUACAUUUAGUUUGUGUUUUAUGAGCAGUAUUUAUGAGGUUCAUAGUCACUUGUAAGUACAAUUGUUUGAUUUCUUAUUUUAUUAUUUCUUUUUAUUUUAUUUUAUUAUUAUGAUUUAGGACACAAUCUGGCAUGUGGAAAUUCCUGGGCCAGGGAUUGAACCUAUACCAUAGGAGAGACCAGAGACACAGCAGUGACAACACCAGAUCCUUAACCUGCGGAGCCACACAGGAAUUACAACUGGGUGAUCUCCAGCUGUCCCAUGUAUCACAAGAAAUGUGAAUUUAUCUAAGAUUAAUCCAUGCACAAGAAAACUUGAGAGCUUUGGAGUGCAUAGGACAUGCCUCUCAGAACCAUCAGUCUGAAGGACGGGAGAGGCAGGGGCACUAAAGAGAGUGCUAACUUCCCUCCAUUCAACUGAGCUCCCAUGAGCCUCCUGGGCACAGGGCCUUCAGAAAAGCAGAGAGGGAUCCAGAGGCAAACAGCGUGCCCAGUUGCUCACCAAAACUGGGACUGAAAUCAGAGGUGGGCCUAAGAGAUGUGAUGUGAGAGAUGGAAAUAUUUCACCUCCAUUUCUUUGAUAAAGAAAUUGAUUCAGUCAGGUUAGCCAGUCCCCUAAGACUGCAUGAUACAUUGGUGACAGGAGUAAGAUUUCAAUUUCCAUUGUAUCCAAUGCCUCCUGGUGAGGGAGGCCAUCUAAGCCAAUGAGUCCUGCACACUUGGUCCUGUUCACUACCAUGAUAUGGCUGGCAUGGCUAAUGGGGAGGAUGAAGCCAACAUAAUGGUUAAGGACCAUGCUAGUAUUUUUCCAGUACCUGCUGUGUGGAGGUGAGUUGUUUGUUGCUUUUUGCUUGUAGAAAAGCAUAUUGAGCUUUAUGAACACAUCACUUAUUCACACAGACCCAUAAAAA
rnacentral:lncRNA from 1 species